rnacentral:rRNA from 1 species
AUGCCGCAGCGGCAAAGUCAGAUGCAGGAUGCGACGGGCCUCCACGCGGGGGUCGAUAAUCAGUUUGUGAUGCUGCGCAACAGUACUCGGGAGAAAAUAUUCGAGUACAUAGAAAGGAAGCAACCAUCGGCUAUCUGGCGGGGGCGGCUGCCGGAGCUUGCGAGGCGGCUCGAGGAGGUCUUGUUUAGAGAAUACCCAAACAAGGCUGAGUACUACAAUAUGAUGAGGGGGCCGAUUUUGACCCACUUGCGGUUUGCCAUGAACCUCUUGAGUGUUCAGAACCAACAACAACAACAGAACCUACAAUUGUCAAGGCAGAUAACAUGCCCCCCUCGCAAUGGGACAAUGAUUGUGACACCUGGUGUCACGCAUGGCACGAGUGAAAAUUCUGGAAUGUCUCAUGUGACGGGCAACAUUGGCCCUCUGUCGUUUGGUGCAGACAUGGUUCCUCUGAACGCCAGCAUGGGGGAAGCUCCUGAUGAGCAUGUGAACACACUGAUGUCUAUGGAGAUGAACCCUACACACCAUGAUCGCCCCAGAGCAUGCAACAACAACCUCGUGAUAGACACAGUGGACACACCUGCAACCAACGGACUCUUGAAACCCCGUGUACCUGUGAAGGAGGCCCGAAAGGAACCAAAGUUCAGCUGCCCAGUCUGCAUGAAUGAGCUGGUCGAUGCGUCAUCGACCAUCUGUGGCCACAUCUUCUGCCAGAACUGCAUUGAGGCCUCCAUCCAGGCUCAGAGCAAGUGCCCGACCUGUCGUAGGACGCUAACCAGGAACAGUUUCCACCGCGUCUACCUCCCGACGAUGGACUAA